AUGACAAUGAUGGCCUCAUUGACGAAGAUGUCGUUGAUGAUUUGUUUGUGGACGGCCAUUGGUCGGAGUGGGACGAGUGGGAGUGUGAGGGGUCGUGUGGGACGUCGACCUUCAUCUCUUACAGGUCGUGUAACAACCCUAAUCCUAGAUAUAUGGGCAAAACGUGUGAAGGAUAUUUUGUCAGGAAAAAUAACAGCAGUUGUAAGGGAUUGGUGGAGUGUGGCCAAA